rnacentral:lncRNA from 1 species
AUGUGGUUAAAUUGUCAAUAAUGAUAUGUGGCUUGAAGCUCAAUGAGGAGAUGUAGCGCAAAGGUCAAUAGGGAGCUGUGGCUUGUUAUUCGAUAAGGAAAUGUGGCUUGAAAGUGAAUAAGGAUAUGUUGAUUCAUUAUCAUUGAGGAGCUAUGGCUUGAUUUUCAAUAAUGCGAUAUGGCUUGUAGGUCAAUACGGAGACGUGGUUUCAUUAUCAUUUGAGAGAUGUGGCUUGACUGUCAAUAACGAGAUGUGGCUUGAUUGGCAAUAAGGACAUGUGACUUGUUUGUCAAUAAAGACAUGUGGUAUGAU